rnacentral:rRNA from 1 species
AUUGAACGCUGGCGGCAGGCCUAACACAUGCAAGUCGAGCGAGCGGCGAACGGGUGAGUAAUGUAUGGGGACUGCCCGCUAGAGGGGGAUAACUACUGGAAACGGUAGCUAAUACCGGCUUCUAUCGGCUAACCCAUAUGGGGUUAGCUAGUAGGUGAGGUAAUGGCUCACCUGGGCGACGAUCCCUAGCUGGUCUGCGUGGAUGAUCAGCAACACUGGGACUGAGACACGGCCCAGACUCCUACGGGGGCGGCAGUGGGGAAUAUUGGACAAUGGGCGCAGUCCGGAUGAGGCCAGGCCGCGUGUAUGAAGAAGGUCCUAGGGUUGUAAAGUACGUUCAGUCGGGAGGCGUUACCGACAGAAGAAGCACCGGCUAACUCCGUGCCAGCAGCCGCGGUAAUAC